rnacentral:misc_RNA from 1 species
UCGUAACAAGGUCUCCGUUGGUGAACCAGCGGAGGGAUCAUUACCGAGUUUUCAACUCCCAAACCCUUAUGUGAACCUACCUAUCGUUGCUUCGGCGGACUCGCCCCAGCCGGACGCGGACUGGACCAGCGGCCGCCGGGGACCAUCAAACUCUUGUAUUAUCAGCAUCUUCUGAAUACGCCGCAAGGCAAAACAAAUAAAUUAAAACUUUCAACAACGGAUCUCUUGGCUCUGGCAUCGAUGAAGAACGCAGCGAAAUGCGAUAAGUAAUGUGAAUUGCAGAAUCCAGUGAAUCAUCGAAUCUUUGAACGCACAUUGCGCCCGCCAGCAUUCUGGCGGGCAUGCCUGUUCGAGCGUCAUUUCAACCCUCGACCUCCCUUUGGGGAAGUCGGCGUUGGGGACCGGCAGCACACCGCCGGCCCUGAAAUGGAGUGGCGGCCCGUCCGCGGCGACCUCUGCGUAGUAAACCAACUCGCACCGGAACCCCGACGUGGCCACGCCGUAAAACACCCAACUUCUGAACGUUGACCUCGAAUCAGGUAGGACUACCCGCUGAACUUAAGCAUAUCA